AAGAAGAGAAUGGAGAGGCAGCAGAGAAGAUCAGGGGCGAGAGAGAGAGAUCGAGAGCAAAGAAGAUAACAAAGUUUAGAUCGAUAAGAGGUGAAGAGGUGAAGAUAGAUGAGAACUGAAGGUGGUCGUCGUCGAAGCUUUUGAACCCUAGCCAAAAUCAGUCAACAGGGGAAAAACAAGCCUAACUCAUCAGGUUGUAUCUAUUGAUUUUCUAUUCGCAUCACAUUAUAUACAAAAACUACGUACCGCCGCGCCCCUCAUGUAUAAAGAAAGAAAGCAGAACAGAGAAUAGAAGAAAGGAAAAUUGAGGAAGACGCAAACUACGGAGGUCCAUUGGUCAAUCGGUCCAAUUAUGGUGCCCUCAAAAGCUUAUUAUUCACAACAUAAGCUAGUUUGGUUGCGUGACAUGACAGAAAUCAUAAGUCAUCAGGGACCAAACUCAAUUCGAUAUGGCCACCUCUUAGAAUAUGAUAUCAUCACACGAUUCAGAACCUGGCUCGUCACCUUAAAAGGAGCGAAUGGCUUCUCUAAUAAGAGUUUGUUCAUACACUUUCCCAAUAGGAGUUUUUUUUUGAUUCCCAACGUAGUUUUGAGUCCAAAUAUGGUAGGUUUACGGCUUCGGAACUGGAUUUGGAUGUCAACAGAAUCUCAAUCUUGGUAGUUGGCCAUGGUAUUGGUGAAUAUAAAAGAAGUAUUCAUAACGCAGGAGUCACGAACUAGAAGGCUAGCUACAAGUUUGAGGCUUGACAUUCCAAGUUUCAGUAGAUUCUUCUAUAAUAUGUGAUGAAAAUGUAGCUUGGAGGUUGAAAGAUACUGCAGGUGUUUCAUCAUCUUACCUAAGAUGUGGUGAAGCAACAAAAGUGACACAAAAGUGACUCGCUGGUUGGGUUUAUCUAAGAAGUUAGAUGAGGUUUAUGCAUGAAAUUCCAGAAUUAAAGAAUCGGUCUCCUUUAAGAAGUUGGUCAUGGGUGCUAGUAUUGAUAUUAAUAGAGUGGAACACUAGCAAUCUAUCUUAUACUAAUAUAAAAAAAGAAGUAUUUUUUGGUGAAGCUUUGGUCUAACCACUUUCGUAGUUGAAACUUGGGGCAUGUUUAUUGAUACAUGUGUAUCUUCCUCUCCCUGGGAACUAGUGAACCUCAAGACAGAUUGAGGAUAUAAUUGUAAUUUAGGAGGGAUUACUGACUUAAGGCAGCAUUCUUAUAAAAGGAAAAUAAAUUUC